CCUACGGGAGGCAGCAGUGAGGAAUAUUGGUCAAUGGGCGCUAGCCUGAACCAGCCAAGUAGCGUGAAGGAUGACUGCCCUAUGGGUUGUAAACUUCUUUUAUAUGGGAAUAAAGUGCAGUAUGUAUACUGCUUUGCAUGUACCUUAUGAAUAAGGAUCGGCUAACUCCGUGCCAGCAGCUGCGGUAAUACGGAGGAUCCGAGCGUUAUCCGGAUUUAUUGGGUUUAAAGGGAGCGUAGGCGGGUUGUUAAGUCAGUUGUGAAAGUUUGCGGCUCAACCGUAAAAUUGCAGUUGAUACUGGCAGCCUUGAGUACAGUAGAGGUAGGCGGAAUUCGUGGUGUAGCGGUGAAAUGCUUAGAUAUCACGAAGAACUCCGAUUGCGAAGGCAGCCUGCUGGACUGUAACUGACGCUGAUGCUCGAAAGUGUGGGUAUCAAACAGGAUUAGAUACCCUAGUAGUC
rnacentral:rRNA from 1 species